rnacentral:lncRNA from 1 species
AUGAUGUUUUUAUUCAUUUCCAUUGUCCUCCUCUUAGAGAUGCCAGAUGUGCUGGGAUUGACUUUGAAUUCAGUUUCAAAGGUUUUGGUUAGAGCAGAAGGCAAAACUAUAUUUCUGCCUUGCAAUGCGACUGGUCUGGGCUCUUCAGACUAUAUCCAUUGGUACCAAGUUAAAGACGGUCAAGCCCCAUCGAGACUACUCUACAUCAGUCAAGGAGGUAGUGUUGCUUAUGAUACCAACAUUAAAGAAGCAAAAGACUUCACAGUGGACAAAAAAAAGCUUUAUGAUCUAAAACUGAGUAAUACUCAGACAAGUCAUUCUGCCGUUUACUUCUGCGCCUACUGGGACACAAGCAGCGGCCACAGUGAGAAGAUUUACUCACAUCCUGUACAUGAACUAUACUUGAAAUGACAUCAGCACCCCAUUUUUGAAGUUCAUACAAAAGCAGUGUGAAAACCUCAAAGACAGCAUUACACCAAGUAUAAACGUUUUUCACCAGAUGAAUGAUGUUUUUAUACAUUUAUAUUGUCCUCCUCUUAGAGGUGCCAGGUAAGUGACAUUUAUAAUAAU